CAGCGCGGCGGUGGCGGCGGGCGGCCGCCUCCCCUCAGCCCCGCGGUGAGCGACACCGAGAGGCUCCUGUGGGGGUAUAUUCAUAUAUUGGCCGAGUCCUGACUUACUGGGUGGAACAACCGCAUUGUUAUUAGUCAUAAAAUUUGAGAAAGACGUUUCGAGACGGAAGAUGUUCAGUGAAAGGCUGACAGUUCGCCAAAAAACCAACGAAGAGGCGAGGCCUGGGCUGAGGGAGGCGUGAGGUGCCAGCAGCCCGCCCGGGGGGACGGCGGCCCCCCGCCCACACAAGGCUGCUGAAGGGAGUUCCUGCCCUGAUCUGACUAAAAAUAGGCUUCAGGAAAAUCUCGUACCGUACUUACUGCUUGCCGUAUCUCAUAGUCCCUCAAAUCUGAGGACCACUACUACAACAGCUUUCCGACUUCUUACAAAGCAACAAACGUGAACUACAGCAAAUCGAUGGAGACUCUUGUACUCGCAUUUGUAUCAUGCUCAUCAGGAAAAUUCAGCUGCAGGUGUACCUCUCCAUCACAGUCUGAACCCUUACUCUGCCAUCUGCAAGUGGAACCUUGAGACAGGCAAGUUCUAAUUUUAAAAUAAACUUUCUAUAGGACUCCUUCCAACCUGUGUUGUUGCCAGUCACCUCCCUAGCAUUGUUACCUUUUCCAGAUCUCCCAUGCUGGUUUUGUCUUCCAAGUCUGCUCAUCACAACACCCAGGACUAACCAGUAUUUCACAUCCCACCCCCUGGCUGUAUCAUUUUUCUCUUUUAAGUUUACUCUUCUGCACGGCCUCCAGCUUGCCUUUAUUCACAUCAAUACUAAGUUCCAUGAGGAGGACAGAAAGAUGACCAGGGAAAACACCUAGACUGGGAGAGA